UGUAAAUGGGGCAUCAGUGUGACACAAAUGACAUCACAAAACAAACAAACAAAAUUACAAAUAUAGUUUGUUCUUUUUCUCUCCCAUGUCCCCUUUCCAAAUUUUUAUUAUUGAUCAUAUUUUUUUGCUUUUACUAUUGCUUAUUUCCUUCACGUUCUUCCCCCUUCUUCUCUCAGAAGAGUUUUAAAUAGUCUAAAAGAAUUUGUUUGGGGGAGAAAAGAGGGGUGGAAGUGGGUUAAAAACAAAACAAAACAAAAAAAAAGAAAGAAAGUAAAUAUUCCCAAUCAAUAAAAACACAUGCAUGAGAAUAUUUGUAGGUGCUUUCAGCUUCAAAAACCUUCAAACCGUGAAGACCCACAGCAAUCUGUGCAAUGUAGCCGUCUCCACAGCCAACCCCCUCCCUGCUGUUCCGGGAAAAAAGAUGAAACAGACGCAUCAGGCGUCAGACUGUCUCUACAGCACCUUGGAUUGGAUGUGUGAGAGAAAUAUCUCACCUCUCCUGCAAACCUGGAUCAAAUGCAUACCUGCUGAGUCCAACACACACACACACGGUCUGGCUCGUCCAUGAUGUCGCUGUCCUUUCCCGAUGCUUCGCACUGAAAGUGUGAUGAUGGCAGGGUUCCCAUCAUGGAUGAGAAAGACUUUCAGAGAUAUUUCAGAAUAUUUGUGUGUUCCGAAGUGAAAAGUUCAGAUUGUAAUGGUGGGAUUUCAGUCCAGGAGAACCUUCUUGAAGUGUUGAGAUGGUUAUGGAUAAAAAGGUGCAAUCUCAUACCAGAACAUGUCCUUCUGAAGGAACCAUCAUCGUUAUUCUUUUUCAGAAAAGUUCUGAUUUCGCAAGGUUUCGCAAGGUCUCACGCAAUCCUAUGUGAAGCAUGUUUUUUUCUUUACAGAGGAACUUCCAAAAGUGCUCAGAAAUAGCACUUUUAUUGAUUACCUGCCAACCAAUCGGGUCGCAAGUUAGGGAAGAACUGAGAAAAACAAUCACGGAGGAUAAAGUGCUGGGGAAACAUUUCACUGCCAAUAUUCCGACUUUGUUUAACCGAAAAUAACAUAUUUUGGGAUGUUCACCACUAACUAACCACUAACUGUAGCUGCAUACAGUCAUGUCACACACAGUUCAAAUUCUUAAAAUUUUCUUCCUCGAAAGCUGCAAUCUUUAUUUCAUCUGCAUAACUGAUAAUGGUAAAUCUAAUCUAGAGAGCAAGCUAUGGUGGUUAGCCAUCUGAUAGUAGCUAGGACUGGAAAGAGUGUUGUUAUGGUUACCUUAUCUGGGGAAGAAGUGCAAAAGCAGACAUAAGCAUCUAAAGAACCCUUGUGGUUUCUCAGGAGUAUACAAGAGCAAACAGUAUGUAAGUACAGUGUCAGGUGUUAGAUCAUUCUCACAUUGGAUUUUCAUCACUCGUCACUAAUUUUGAUGGCUAAUUAGCUUCUUUUUUGUUAUUUUUAGAUGUGCAGCAAGCAACAGAAAGAAAUCAGCAAGGAUUAAAAACUCUCAAGUGUCACUACUGAAUAAUGAGAAGCUCCUCCAGUCACGUCUUAUUGUUUUCUAUUGGCCACCAACGCAAACAACCUCCUAAUAAAUCAAAUCAAAAACUCAAACUAGGCUAGUUAGUUAGCCAAUACUAGCUAGGACUGGUUAGAGAGUUGUUAUGAUUUACAGUGUGUGCAUCACAUGAACCAUUUUUUUAAAAGUACAAGUAAACCCUUGAGGAGCUCUCAUUUCUCAGGAAGGUGUCAUGGAUAUCCUGGAAGGGACUCCGGAAUACAGUUCCCAGCAGCCAUUGCACCACACAGCAUCACCAUCACAUGACCACCCGCACCUGAUUCUCACUGACUUAAUGAGCACCUAUGUGCAUAUAGCCACAGUUUGCACUGCACUCCUAAUCUUGUGUUAGUCUUUCGUCUCUGUCUUUAUGCUCAUGGUCUUUGGUACUGUUUGAAUCUUGCCUUAGUGUUUUGCUUCCUGUUCAUACUUCUUGUUUUGUUUUGUUUUGGUAGUCAUUAAAACUGAAAAUCUACACUUGCAUCUGUCUCUGCCACCAAACCAUGACAGAAGGGUCGCAGGAAACCAGGAUCCUAUCCCAAGGAAUUUGGGCACCCCUGGACAGUGUGCCAACAAAUCUUGGGGCACACACAUUCACACACUAUAAACAAUUUAGAAGUGUGAAUCAGUCUACAACGCAUGUCUUUGGACUGUGGGAGGAAACCAGAGUACCCAGAGGAAAUCCCCGAACGAAUCACAGGGAGAACAUGCAAAGGUCGGAGUCGAACCCCCAACCCCGGAGCCCUGCUUCCAUGUAAAUCCUACGACUUUGAAUGAUUGAUGGCUGUGAAUGUUCACAGCGGUUGAUCUUUGCAUAGGAGAAGUGGGAGGUUUCCCAAACGAACGCAACCCGCAGCCCGUUGAGGAGCACCGAGAGGAAUUCUCUGCAGUUACGUAAAACAUUAGUCAUCCUUGCAUGUCUAAUCUUUAUAUAUAUAUAUUUCUCUGUCUCUUGUGCUCUCUCUCGCUUCUCUCUCACUCCCCCAGUCCAAGUCUAGUUCUUCAGCAGGAAAUGGAACGGGUGCUCAGAUUUGUUUUUUUCCAGAGUGUGUGGAGAUGCUUUUCUGAUUCCAAGAAGUAGAGAAUCGGAAAAUAGAAAAUGUUCAUUCAAAACUCAACAGAACAGUAAGCCAGCAUGAGUAACGAACAGGUGUGUGAUGAAUGAAUCUGGAAAUCAUUCUUAGUACACUAAAAUCUGUAGAUCCAGGUCACAUUGUGGACUGCGUGGGCCAUACCAGCGUGAUUGAUUGUCGAGGUUGAAAUCUGAUCACAGCAACACCACUUGAAAGACUUCAGCCUGCUUGUUUGUUUGCUUGGUCACUAUUUCUAAGUGUUUCUUUUCCCAAAAUUGUAAAGUGACCUUCGGUUUGAGAAAGGUGCUAUGUAAAUUCACACACUCAUUCACACCUAGUGUACCCAGUCUGCCUACCUGCAUGGUUUUGGACAGCGGGAGGAAACUGUAGAAUGUGGAGAAAAUGGAUUUGGCCUCUCUAGCUCGGGGGGGGAGGCUGUUCCUCAAAACUUUUGCAUCCAGAAACACUUUACAGAGUAAAAGAAUUUUGAAGGGCGUCCUUAUAAUCAGAGCACAGAGUUAAUUUUCAGAUCAGCAUGGUGAAAUAUGUAUCAUCAGUUUUUUUUUGGAGGUGGGAGGAACCUGGAGAACCAGGAGGAAAGCCCAAAGCUCAGGAUCAUCACACCAUGGAGCUGUGAAGCAUUAACGCUACCCACUGUACCACCAUGUCGACUAUUAUUAUUAUUAUUAUUAUUAUUAUUAUUAUUUAUGCCUUACCUUCAGUAUAUAAUACAGUACAAAGAAACAAACUCUUUUGCUUAAGAAUCAAUAAACUUUCAUUCAUAUCUUGCAUUUUUAAACAAAAUGAUCACGAGAAUGGUUCAAAUUCCUUGAAAUGUUUUUAGGAUGCACUCCUCUUUGUUCACCGCCGUCAUCUCGAUGCCCGUAGAGGGAGCGCUGGGGUUUUUUUUUUGUCCGACUGCACCCAAUGAUGUCAUCUAGGCUACGUCAACCGCAAACGUCACCAAACACACCAGAGCUGGCCUGCUUUCACUGCGCACUCGUCUUAAUGAAAAAGCUUCCUCAUCCAAUGCUGUGUUCACUCUCCAUCACCAGUUCCACCUGAUCUUCUCCAUUCUCCAAGACGUCAUGAGACUGGCACUGAUUUCUCAUAAACAUGUAAUAUACUGUGGGUGUAUAGAUUGAUGUUAUUGUGAGAAGUUAUUGCUUUCGCAUGAUAUGAGCAUCCACAGGCAUGUUUUGCUUAUGUGUGUGUGUGUGUGUGUGUGUGUGUGUGUGUGUUACACUGCAGUGCUGUUGUACCCUGCAGAAUCCAGCCCCAUAUACCGUGCUGCAUUUACCACAGCAUAGCAAUGACGUAAUCACCCUCCUCAUCCUCAGCUACUGAUGAAGGUGGCAGCAAGGAUGAGCUUGACUGACAGAUAAGCCCCGCCCAAUCAGUCCAAUCCAUCUUUCCUUCAUUUCACUACCCUCGAGUGAAAGGAGGUAAAAAAAAUAUGAAUGAAUCAGCAGCCAUUCUUAAUCUCACCUCUCUCUCUCUAUCUCUCAUUCACUCUUAUUUUUUCACUCUCCUUUUUCACCCCCUCCUUUCCAUUCUCUCUCUCUCUCUCUCUCGCUCUCCUUCUCCAUUAGCUCAUUGUAUAUGAGACAAAGAGAGAGAGAGAUAGAGAGCGCGAGAUAGAUGUGGGGACUGUUGCUGUGCAGAUUAUGGGCUGUAAUCCUCAGGCAGGGUGAGUGUGAAUGACAGAGAUCUGCUUCCAUUUCUGAAAAGUAGGCCGGAUGUUUCGGCUUUGCAUAUAUCAUGGAAACAGCGGACACCAAUACCUUCAGCAUCCCUCCUUCCCUCCAUCCCUCUUUCCUUGCAUCCCUUUGUCAGGGAGAGAAGUUACCAAGUGAAGGCUGUCGAGCGGUUUCAUUCAGCCUCUCUUUCUCAGAAUCCAUUGAGAAAAAGUGUCAGCCAGAAGGGGAGGGUUGUGCUGCAGUGUGUGUGUGCAUGCAUGUGUGUGUGUGUAGGAAAAUGUAUGAGUGAAGGACAGAGCAAAAGAUUACGAGUGUGCAGUCACACCCUAUGAACAUUAUGAGGUCACUCUGCAUCAAAGCACAUUUUAAUGUCACAUUCUAGGACAUUUAAGAUGUUUAAAG